rnacentral:lncRNA from 1 species
AUUGAUUGUGCUUUGGCAACUAGAUGCAGUGCUAGGCUUCACUCUGCAAGGUGUUUAAAAAGAAAAACAGGUUUACCCAGGAUUUAUCAUGUAUGGAAAAAUGUAAUCUCUAAGUAGGCUGUCUGCUAAUGUCGGGCAUAAUGUUUCUUCAUAAUGGUUAACCCUUUUUCAGGGAGUGGAAUAAUGCAAACAGUGCCUCUCUCUAGAUGGGAACUUUGCUUCAUGGGACAUUACACUCAACUAUAAAUUCCUGGAUCAAAGAACUGUCC